ACAAUGGAGAGUUUGAUCCUGGCUCAGGAUGAACGCUAGCGGGAGGCCUAACACAUGCAAGCCGAGCGGUAUAGAGUAGCUUGCUACUCUAGAGAGCGGCGUACGGGUGCGGAACACGUGUGCAACCUGCCUUUAUCAGGGGGAUAGCCUUUCGAAAGGAAGAUUAAUACCCCAUAAUAUUUAGGAUGGCAUCAUUUUAAAUUGAAAACUGAGGUGGAUAAAGAUGGGCACGCGCAAGAUUAGAUAGUUGGUAGGGUAACGGCCUACCAAGUCGAUGAUCUUUAGGGGGCCUGAGAGGGUGAUCCCCCACACUGGUACUGAGACACGGACCAGACUCCUACGGGAGGCAGCAGUGAGGAAUAUUGGACAAUGGGUGAGAGCCUGAUCCAGCCAUCCCGCGUGAAGGACGACGGCCCUAUGGGUUGUAAACUUCUUUUGUAUAGGGAUAAACCUUUCCACGUGUGGAAAGCUGAAGGUACUAUACGAAUAAGCACCGGCUAACUCCGUGCCAGCAGCCGCGGUAAUACGGAGGGUGCAAGCGUUAUCCGGAUUUAUUGGGUUUAAAGGGUCCGUAGGCGGAUCUGUAAGUCAGUGGUGAAAUCUCACAGCUUAACUGUGAAACUGCCAUUGAUACUGCAGGUCUUGAGUAAGGUAGAAGUAGCUGGAAUAAGUAGUGUAGCGGUGAAAUGCAUAGAUAUUACUUAGAACACCAAUUGCGAAGGCAGGUUACUAUGUCUUAACUGACGCUGAUGGACGAAAGCGUGGGGAGCGAACAGGAUUAGAUACCCUGGUAGUCCACGCCGUAAACGAUGCUAACUCGUUUUUGGGUUUUCGGAUUCAGAGACUAAGCGAAAGUGAUAAGUUAGCCACCUGGGGAGUACGUUCGCAAGAAUGAAACUCAAAGGAAUUGACGGGGGCCCGCACAAGCGGUGGAUUAUGUGGUUUAAUUCGAUGAUACGCGAGGAACCUUACCAAGGCUUAAAUGGGAAUUGAUCGGUUUAGAAAUAGACCUUCCUUCGGGCAAUUUUCAAGGUGCUGCAUGGUUGUCGUCAGCUCGUGCCGUGAGGUGUUAGGUUAAGUCCUGCAACGAGCGCAACCCCUGUCACUAGUUGCCAUCAUUAAGUUGGGGACUCUAGUGAGACUGCCUACGCAAGUAGAGAGGAAGGUGGGGAUGACGUCAAAUCAUCACGGCCCUUACGCCUUGGGCCACACACGUAAUACAAUGGCCGGUACAGAGGGCAGCUACACAGCGAUGUGAUGCAAAUCUCGAAAGCCGGUCUCAGUUCGGAUUGGAGUCUGCAACUCGACUCUAUGAAGCUGGAAUCGCUAGUAAUCGCGCAUCAGCCAUGGCGCGGUGAAUACGUUCCCGGGCCUUGUACACACCGCCCGUCAAGCCAUGGAAGUCUGGGGUACCUGAAGUCGGUGACCGUAAAAGGAGCUGCCUAGGGUAAAACAGGUAACUAGGGCUAAGUCGUAACAAGGUAGCCGUACCGGAAGGUGCGGCUGGAACAUCUCAUUUUAGA
rnacentral:rRNA from 1 species